AUGUUGCAGCUCCUUUUAUAUUUAUACCUCAUUCCUCAGAUGAAUGGACUCUUGAUGCUAGACGAUUCCGAUUCCAAUGAAACCUCGCACUUACAACCUCUCAUGGUAAGCCUACCUCAAAAGCUUACAAUUCUUUCCCCAUCUGAUACCUAUAGCCAUAUUGAUUUCGAAAGUACCAAAUCACAUGUGCGAUUUUUGACGGUGUUGAGAUAGUUGUAAGGAUGAAGAGUCGUUUGUAACUAAGAAUGUUGACAAUAAAUAAGAAAUAUGAGCAAAUGAAGAUAUACCUAUAUGAAAUUUUGCAAUAUAUGUAAAUUAAACUGUCGUAAUAUAUAAAGACACGUGUAAAUGAGAAAAAGAACAGGGCCAGAUUUACCUACUUGCCGCCCACGGGCCGCCUGUAUUUUGCCGCCCCUUCUCAUUCGUUUUGUAACAUCGAUAUAAACCAUCAAGUGAACGUGCCGGAGGAGGAGGGGUGCAUAAGACUCGUUUACUCGUGUUGGGCACAUUUUUUGUGAAAGCCCUGUCAGUACUAGCAAAAGUUCACGGAGCUUUGCACUAAAAUUGAGGAGCUUUCCGGAAAAAGGACACAUACCGAAAAAACGCGUUGUGAGAAAAACGCAUUUGAAGUUUUCAUUCUUACUUUCUGGGCACUGAUGAUGACAUACAUCGGAACUGGGGCACUCAUAUCAACGUUCAUACACCCUAGAAUGGAUAACGACCAUUGGUAAAACUUACACUUCUUUCAGUGUUGUGGGAGGAAUUUUUUAAAAUUUUCCGUUAUGUGCCCUUUUUCCGGAAAUGGACCGGUGGUCAUAGGUUUUGGCUUUUAAAGCUGAAUUUUAAAUGACUUUAACGAGUUUCUUAACGAAAAUAAACAGUAAUUUCGAUCGCGAACGCGCGGGUGGAUCGUCUUUGAUUAUUAUUAAUGAAAAAGACAGCGAAACACGUGAAAAACUCGAAAAAUUUAAACUCGCAAGAAACCAUUAAAAAAUUGAAUGAUUAAUAAUAACAAAAAUUCACGAGUGACCGGUGCAACGCGUUGACAAUCGCUGCAACCCGAUGAUAUUGAGAAAUCGCCUCGAAUGCGGCGGAAUACCAUGGUCUCAACUUUUUUACCGUUCGUCUCUCAGACAAGUAUGACAUAUCGAUGGAUACGGAAUUAGACUAGGAAUGUAUUGCUCAUUCCUUUAUUAAAAAAAAAAAAAUAAAAUAACUUUUUCGGGAAUUUCCGAACGUUUAAAAUUCGACCGAUCAAAAUUUCAAAAAAAUUUGGUACAUCUGCACUUUACUGCUACUAUCCAUCAAAAACUCAUGCAUAGAACAUUAGGAAAGUAGAAAUAAUUUUUGAGUCGGGGACCCACGGCAAUCGGCGUUGAAAAUUGACAAUUUUACGGAGUUUUCGAAUUUUUCCCUCUGAAAUUCAACGCAGCGCCGUAACCCAAGAAAACCUUAUGGCGAAUUAAGCUUCACUUUUCCUGAUAGCUGAAAGCAAUUUGAACUUAAUUAAACCUCUAGAAAUAAUUUUUGAGUCAGGAACCCACGGCAAUCGGCGUUGAAAAUUGACAACUUUACGGAGUUUUCAAAUUUUUCCCUCUGAAAUUCAACGCAGCACCGUAACCCAGGCAAAUGUAAUGGUGAAUUAAAAGUCCGAAAUCUCGACAACAAAAAGUCGUAUCAAAAUUCGGUCGGUACAGUUUUCCGAUCUUCGAUAGUCUAAAAGAUUCGCAUCGCUCCGCGGCGGAUCGGAGGAGGGUAAUUUUCCGAAAAUUUUUCAAUUUCCCGAAUCAGACCCCAUUCUCCAGUCUCCGAUACCAGCCCCAUACUGUAAGAUACGGUCUAUCAAUGUUGAAAAUUUUUACAAGUCCGAAAAUCCGAAUUUUUUGCACAAUCUGGCAACACUGUACGGAAAAAUCAACUAAUUUCUUGCCCCAUCUGGCAACACUGUUAAAAUGCGAUGUUGCAAAAUUUCACCAAUAAAUCAUUUAUUUACUUGCCCCGUUCGGCAACGUUGCUGCGCCAUUUUGAAAUAUACACCGUUGCAUAAACCGUAUAAAAUGAAGUGGGCACUUAAAUAAAUGAUUUAUUUAUUGGUGAAAUUUUGCAAUAUUUUUUUUCCUUUUACAGCGUUGCCAGAUUUAUUGACCCUGUUGCCACAUUGAAUAAUAAUCCCUAUACAACACUGUUAUAAAAUUCAUAUUUUUCUGCACAAUCGUGCAACGCUGUACGAUAAUUUACUGUUGCAAAGUCCCCUUUUUCACCCUACUUUUUUGAACAAACAAAAAUAAUUUUUUGAACAACUUUAAUGUUUCAUAGCUUUUAAAAAAGUUAUUUUUUCUAGUCCUUGCUAAGUUGGAACUGAUUUUGUUUUCUUAUUUCUCUACAGUAUUUACCAAAGCCCGCAGACUCGAACAAUAUUUCAUCUUUAUCAGCAGAAAUGACUCGAUUGAAAGAUGAAUGUGAUCACCGCGAGAAAAAUCUCACAUUAACAAUUUGUGAGCUUCGUGUCGAGGUCAACCUGCUGAAUAAACAGCUGGAAGCUGAACGUAAUAAAAGUGAUACUUGGAGAGAUGCAGUUGCUGUGCUGAGAAAGGAGAAUGUAAGUCGUCUUUUUCAUACAUUUAAACCGUACGGUUUUUGAACCGACCACUUUUUGAAAAGGUGUAUGUAAGGGAGUAAGAGGGUCAUUAGUCUGUUCUCAUAUGUACAAAAAUCCAGUCCCGUGUGCAACAUUUUGAAAAAAGU
rnacentral:lncRNA from 1 species